UGAGGGCCCCUCUGCGUGUUCACAGCGGACCUUGAUUUAAUGUCUAUACAAUUAAGGCACGCGGUGAAUGCCAAGAGAGGCGCCUCC
ensembl:miRNA rno-mir-124-3 rno-mir-124-3